UGAAUUUAGCAUGUUUCCUAAGUAUCUGCAAACAUAUUGUGGUAUUUUUAAGCUUUAGUGCAGAUCAAAAAUUACAAAUAGCAUCUAUAAA